UUAAACGUGCACACAAUAGAGAGGGGGAGAGAGAGGGGUGGUGCGUGUGUGCCUGAGCACAUCCAAGACAGCGAGCAUCCUUGGCCUGUUUUGCUAAAUCA